CCCUCCCGGCCUCCCGCCCCCGGGCGGGUCGGCGCCCGCCGGAGGAUAACCAAACUCUGAUUCAACGACGUUUCUUCUGAGUGGUACAAGCAAAUAAUCAAAACUUUUAACAACGGAUCUCUUGGUUCUGGCAUCGAUGAAGAACGCAGCGAAAUGCGAUAAGUAAUGUGAAUUGCAGAAUUCAGUGAAUCAUCGAAUCUUUGAACGCACAUUGCGCCCGCCAGCAUUCUGGCGGGCAUGCCUGUUCGAGCGUCAUUUCAACCCUCAAGCUCCGCUUGGUGUUGGGGCCCUACAGCUGAUGUAGGCCCUCAAAGGUAGUGGCGGACCCUCCUGGAGCCUCCUUUGCGUAGUAACUUUACGUCUCGCACUGGGAUCCGGAGGGACUCUUGCCGUAAAACCCCCCAAUUUUCCAAAGGUUGACCUCGGAUCAGGUAGGAAUACCCGCUGAAC
rnacentral:rRNA from 1 species